rnacentral:rRNA from 1 species
GGGAAUAUUGGACAAUGGGCGCAAGCCUGAUCCAGCCAUGCCGCGUGAGUGAUGACGGCCCUAGGGUUGUAAAGCUCUUUUACCUGGGAAGAUAAUGACGGUACCAGGAGAAUAAGCCCCGGCUAACUUCGUGCCAGCAGCCGCGGUAAUACGAAGGGGGCUAGCGUUGUUCGGAUUUACUGGGCGUAAAGCGCACGUAGGCGGACGCUUAAGUCAGGGGUGAAAUCCCGAGGCUCAACCUCGGAACUGCCUUUGAUACUGGGUGUCUUGAGUCCGGGAGAGGUGAGUGGAACUGCGAGUGUAGAGGUGAAAUUCGUAGAUAUUCGCAAGAACACCAGUGGCGAAGGCGGCUCACUGGCCCGGUACUGACGCUGAGGUGCGAAAGCGUGGGGAGCAAA